rnacentral:rRNA from 1 species
AUUGAACGCUGGCGGCAUGCCUUACACAUGCAAGUCGAACGGUAACAGGUCUUCGGAUGCUGACGAGUGGCGGACGGGUGAGUAAUACAUCGGAACGUGCCUAGUAGUGGGGGAUAACUACUCGAAAGAGUGGCUAAUACCGCAUGAGAUCUACGGAUGAAAGCAGGGGAUCGCAAGACCUUGUGCUACUAGAGCGGCCGAUGGCAGAUUAGGUAGUUGGUGGGAUAAAAGCUUACCAAGCCGACGAUCUGUAGCUGGUCUGAGAGGACGAUCAGCCACACUGGGACUGAGACACGGCCCAGACUCCUACGGGAGGCAGCAGUGGUGAAUUUUGGACAAUGGGCGAAAGCCUGAUCCAGCAAUGCCGCGUGCAGGAUGAAGGCCUUCGGGUUGUAAACUGCUUUUGUACGGAACGAAAAGCCCCGGGUUAAUACCCUGGGGUCAUGACGGUACCGUAAGAAUAAGCACCGGCUAACUACGUGCCAGCAGCCGCGGUAA